CGGCCGUGACGCGCUUGUGCCAUAAUUAGAUAGCAAGACUACAACUCCCGGCAUUCUCCGCAAGGAGGGUGAUGUGUUUUUAUUUUGUUUUUUCUUCUAUCAAUGAGCAGACUGCGCCCGAGCAUGGAUGUUAAGCAUAACUGAAGUUUGUACUUCAGGAAAAUGGCUGCCAGCAACUGUUCUUUACGUGUGUUUGGAGCGGAGACACAGUAAACAGAAUACAUCGGUUCCGCAGCAGUCGUGCUGCAACUGAUAGCACUCAGAGCAGCGCGGUGCUAGUACCGGAGGGUAUAAGGAAGCUUUCAGGGAUGCUGCCAAUGCACGCAGAGUAUCAUUACCUAUGGGAAAUCAGCACAGGAAAAGUGAUGGCUGGAUCCACAGUGCGAACUUUUGGGAGGCUUAGCUGCUAUGAUUCUGCUCAGUCCGAGGCAACACUGACAGCACAGCACUCUGCAGUGCAGCACAAGCUCCAGUUAAAUACAAGGUUUGUGGAGCCCUUUUCUGCCCGACUAGGAUCAUAUUACCUUGCACUGGGGGAGCUGGACACUGUUGAUGAUGCGCACCUUGUGUUAUGUGCUCGCCUGCUGACCUGCAUUGAGGGUGUAGACGUCUCCCUUCUGCAGAGAGCAGUGGAAGAGCAAAUAAAAUACCUUCGAGAGAGAGAGAAAGUAACCCAAGGAAGCAACUUGCCACCAUAAAAUGGGAUAUGUUCUUCAUUUAUACAUAGGACCUCUUUCUUGAUGUGAUAUGUAGACUGAGACAUAGCUGAUAGGUGUCAGCAGGACGCCAUCCACAGGACAAAACACGCACGUGGCAACAUACAGUAUCAGAUGUCAUUUAACAGGUUGGAGACCUUGGACAGUGGUGACCCUAGGCUUCUUAGGAGCAGCAGAGACGACGGAGGCAUCCAGAGUAGAGCAGUAUCGGUCAGCCUGAGUCUCAUAAUCCUUUGCAGAAAAACAAGAUUUAUAUAAUAUUAUGAAGAGGACAACAUACAGUAUAUCGCUUAAAUAUUGCAGUAUCAACAGUCUUUCCAUUCAAAAUGUUUAUUGUAUGCUGCAGUCUACAGACAAUAUUAAAGUAGGAUUUGUGUAUAUUGUGCAAUAGUUAUAUGUAACAUUGCUUCCUCCAGUCUUUGGCCGGGUGCACAACAACGAGCAAUCGACAAAAUGGCCUGGACGAAUUCCCUUCAUCCCAGACCAAGCGAGAUUGACUGUAUAGACUGCAAUUCAUUGAACGAUAUCUUGUUCACUCCUUAAUUAAACUACACCGCAUCCAUCGCACACAAUGGGGGGGAAUUCAACUGUUUGAAAAGUCGGU